AGCGAACGCUGGCGGCAGGCCUAACACAUGCAAGUCGAACGAACUCUUCGUAGUUACUUGCUGACAGGUGUGGAACGCGUCGGACCGGUCCGUUAGGCUCCGGAUACCACAGUUAAACGUGUGCUAACGCCGGAUGAGUCCCGCUGGUACAAGAUACAUCGCCCUUGGAGCGGCCCGCGUCCUUUUGACUAGUUGGGGAGGUAAGGGCUCAUCAAGGCUACGCUCGGUAGCUGGGCUGAGAGGAUGACCAGCCACACUGGGGCUGUGACCCGGCCCAGACUCCUACGGGAUGGAGGCGAGGCGAAUCUAGCGCAAUCGGCGAAAGCCUGACGCAGCCAUGCCGCGUGAAUGCUGAAGUUCUGAGGAUUGUGAAAUUCUUUAACCGGGGGCGAUAAUGACGGUACCCGGAGAAGAAGCCCCGGCUAACUUCGUG
rnacentral:rRNA from 1 species